GCAGGGGGCUCCAUGGGGCCCUGGCUAUGUAAACAUCACACACCCUGAGAUGCUCCUUACACAGAUCACUAUUCCUCACUGCAAUAAUAAUAAUUCACGUGGGAGCGUCAGUCACUAGAGCCCAAAUAGCCGGGCUGUCCCAUGGUCACUGUCAUAGGGUGAGUGUCACUGUCCUGGGAUUUUUUUGUGACUGUCACAUGGUGAGUGUCACUGUCACAGAGCGAGCAUCACUUCUGGGGUGAUUGUCUCUAUCAGAAGAAGUCAGUCACUGUCACAAGGUAGGUGUUACAGGGGGGUGAAGGUCACUGCCUCGAUUCUCCAGUUACCUGGCUGACUCUCCUGGUUGUUGGGCCCCCAGUGUCUGGCCCCUUCGUUGCAGAACCCUCACUCAUUCAUCCCACAUAGCAUAGACCCAAUGGAGAGAAGCUGGAGGCCCCAAACUGUGCCUGGGAUACUGGGACCUCAGUGGAAACCAGUUGUAUUGGGUCUCCAGUCACUGAGAGCCACGAGGAACUGGUCUUCUGCCAUUGGAAACCACUGGGAGCUGGUAUUUUGUUACUGGGAGCCAGUAUUCUGUCACUGGGAGCUGGUGCCCUGUGAAUGGGAACACAACUCCUGUCACUGGGAUUAGUUGUCCUGUCACUGGAAGCCAAUGUGAGCUGGUAUCCUGCCUCUGGGAGCCAAUAUUCUGUCACAAGGAAGACUGGGAGUUGGUAUCUUGUCAAUGGGCACCAGUAUCCUGUCACUGGUAGCCGCUGUGAGCUGGUCUCCUGUCACUGGGAGCCGAUGGGAGCUGGUCUCCUGUCACUGGGAGCCGAUGGGAGCUGGUCUCCUGUCACUGGGAGCCGAUGGGAGCUGGUCUCCUGUCACUGGGAGCCGAUGGG